rnacentral:misc_RNA from 1 species
ACAAAACCCUAGGGCUCUACGAACCAAUCAACUUAUCUUUUUUGAUAGAACCCUAAAGUAAGUUCAAAUUGAAUUCAAACGCCUUCAGAUCUAAUAAUAGGAAAUGAAAUGAAUCGAUGAAAAUGUCAUGUUUUGGUUUUUCAUUUUCUUCUCACUUUCCUUUUCAGUAUUUUUCUCACUUUUCUCUUAAACGCGUAGAUUAAGGAAG